UUCUUUUUCCUUUUCUUUUCUUUAUCUUUUUCUUUGUUUUCUUGCUGUUGUUUUUCUUUUUUGAUGUUCUUUUAUUUCAUAUCAUCCUCUUGUUGAUGUUCAUUGGUCUGGGUGAGCCGCUUUCCUCCCAGAAGAGACCCACCCAUAAUUUUGGUGAUGUUAGUUUGGGGCCGAAUGGUGGAUGAUGUUUCUUUGUAUGUUACUUUUCUUGAUGUUCUGUUAUUGCUGUUACUUUUCUUUUGCGAUGUUUUUUUGCUCUUUUUUCCCCUAUUUUUUGGUGUUCUUUUCUAUAUCAUCCCUCUUUGAUGUUCUUUGGUCUGGAUGAGCCUCUUUCUCCCCAGAAAAGACCCACCCAUAAUUUUGGUGAUGUUAGUUUGGGUCCGAAUGGUGGAUGAUGUUUCUUUGUAUGUUACUUUUCUUGACGUUGUUCUGUUAUUGUUGUUACUUUUCUUUUGCGAUGUUUUUUUCUUUUUCCCAUUUUUUUGGUGUUCCUUUCUAUAUCAUCCCUUUUUGAUGUUCUUUGGUCUGGAUGAGCCUCUUUCUCCCCAGAAAAGACUCACCCAUAAUUUUGGAGAUGGUAGGGCCUGAAGGUGGAUGAUCUGUUUUUUUUUUUUUUUUUUUUCUUGAUGUUUUGUUACUAUAUUUUCCUUUUCUGGUGUUCCUUUUUAUUUUCCUUUUCUUUGGUGUUCCCAUCACGUGGAUUGUCUACGACAUCUAACGAGCACCACAAGCCCCGGUUUAUUGUUCGGAGUUUGCUCUCCUAGGCAGACUGCCUACCACGGCUGACGAGCUCCACCUGCCCGGGUUUAUUGUUCGGAGUUUGCUCUCCUAGGCAGACUGCCUACCACGGCUGACGAGCUCCACCUGCCCGGGUUUAUUGUUCGGAGUUUGCUCUCCUAGGCAGACUGCCUACCACGGCUGACGAGCUCCACCUGCCCGGGUUUAUUGUUCGGAGUUUGCUCUCCUAGGCAGAUUGCCCACCACGGCUGACGAGCUCCACCUGCCCGGGUUUUAUGAUCGGAGUUUGCUCUCCUAGGUGUAUUACCUAUGACGGCUCACGAGCCCAACCUGCCCGGGUUUAUUGUUCGGAGUUUGCUCUCCUAGGUGAAUUGCCUACCACGGCUAACGAACCUCACCUGCCCGGGUUUGUAAUCGGAGUUUGCUCUCCUAGGUGAACUGCUCACGCUAACGACCUCCACCUGCCCGGUUUUGUAAUCGGAGUUUGCUCUCCUAGAUGAACUGCUUUCGCUAACGACCUCCACCUGCCCGGGUUUAUUGUUCGGAGUUUGC